rnacentral:lncRNA from 1 species
CGCGCUUCUCCAUCAGGUGGAGCCGUCGGCUCCUCGCCGCCUCCCUCCUCCUCCCUCCCCCGGAGCGAACCGCGCGCAGGCAGCCUUGCAGCGCCAGGAGGCUAACCGAGCCCCCGGAGGAGGUGAGGCCGCGGGCAGCCGGGCGGAGAUGGCGGGGCCGCCGUCGAGGCUGGCGCCAGAGCCCGACCGGCUGUGGGUCCUGCAGCUUCAGUGAAAGGAGUCCUUCUGUCACUCGUCACUAGCUCGCUCGCUCACUGUGGGAGGAGCCCGCCUGAGGAAGCCGUGUGCCUGGGAUGCCAAGAGCCAGAGAAUGGAUCUUCUCCGAGUGGGGACAUUGCUGACAAUCCCGGCUUCCCGAGGCGGCUAAGAACAGGCAGUUUGUGUCGGCUGGCUGCAGAUACCCAGAGGCACAAAGAGACCGAAGCCACCCGGAGGGACCCACGGACGGACAGAUGGUAGGCGCGAACCCGAGAGGACCGGCGGAGGCUGAGCACCGAGAGCCGCCAAGGAAGAGAAACUAACCACAGCCAAGUUACCCCGCCGGCUUUCCUUCGCUGCGCUAAGGAAUGAAACCCUUCCAGCUCGAUCUGCUCUUCGUCUGCUUCUUCCUCUUCAGUCAAGAGCUGGGCCUCCAGAAGAGAGGAUGCUGUCUGGUGCUGGGCUACAUGGCCAAGGACAAGUUUCGGAGAAUGAAUGAAGAGACGGAGUUUCGCUCUUGUUGCCCAGGCUGGAAUGCAAUGGCAUGAUCUCAGCUCACUGCAAGCUCCGCCUCCCGCGUUCAAGCGAUUCUCCUGCCUCAGCCUCCUGAGUAGCUGGGAUUACAGGCACCCACCACCUCACUUGGCUGAUUUUUUGUAUGUUUAGUAGAAACAGGGUUUCGCCAUGUUGGGCAGGCUGGUCUCAAACUCCUGACCUCGGGUGAUCCACCCGCCUCAGCCUCCCAAAGUGCUGGGAUUACAGGCGUGCGACUAAUAUUCUUAACGUAACCCUGUGGCUUAGGAGUAGGAGAAAUCUAGAUUCAAAUCCCGGGUGUAGUCAGGGCAGGCUUAGACCCCUAUCAUUACAGAUUCUCCAGGCCAGAAGGGACCAAAGGUCAUCUGGUUCCAUAUCCCUGCCAAGUACCAGUGUGUGUAAAGACUGUGAACACGGCGGAAUGCUCAUUUAUUCACCAACCAUGUGUCCAGUACCCGCUCUGUGCCUGGCGCUGUGCAUGUAAAAACACAGUCCCUGCCCCCAAGGAUACCACUGUCUUGCGGGGAGAGACAAACACGUCAGCAACUACAAUACAAUGUCGCAGUUGCGGUAACCGGGUAUGAAUAAGUAGCUAUUGGAAACAGAGAAGGAGAAUCCAAUCACACUGUAGGCCAGGAGAGGAGUGUCCAGCAUGGCUUCUGGAGAAAUAAGCCCUGUGAGAUGUUUUAUUCUAAGAGGCUGUUGCAACCUAUGCUUGAAUCCCUCCAAAGACAAGAAACUUGCAGCCUGCCGAGGCGGUGGGCAGCUCCUCAGCCAGGCUCUCCAAACGCCACACCGCUUCCACCCCAGGAGGCUGCAGUUUUCGCAUUCUAGCUUUACUGAUGACGAGGGGACCCAGUGACUUGGACAGCAGCCACUGGCAAGAUCCUGGGGUCUCCACUAUGUCAACUGCACCGGGGAGGCCUCCUUUCUUCUCUCUGCUUCUUCCUUCCAUCCCCAGCCAGCCUCAAAGGCUUCAUCACAGAAUUCUUUGAGUGCUGAGACCCUCCCCCAGCCCUCUCCCCAGGGUCUGAAGAAAGCCCCAGAGAAGUUGGAAUAAACGAAGGCGCUUAAUGGCUUGCGGUGCCAUAAAGUUUUUAGAGCCGUGCGCUGGAAUGAGCAGGUUCAGGCUGAGAUGAAUUAUCCAGGGCUUUUAUCAAAGGGAGUCAAUAAAAACCUGAAGGAGCUUGCCCCACCUCCACAGAGUGCUCAUGUCACAGUGCCGGGCCCUGUGCUCUGGAAGUAGGAACCAGGGGGCCGCGUUUUCCCCCUAACUCCAUCUGCUUUCUUCCCUGUGCCUUCCUUUCUGAAAUGUAUUCGUUUCUAUGGAA